rnacentral:rRNA from 1 species
CGUAGGGUCCGAGCGUUGUCCGGAAUUAUUGGGCGUAAAGGGCUUGUAGGCGGUUUGUCGCGUCGGAAGUGAAACUCAGGGCUUAACUCUGAGCGUGCUUUUGAUACGGGCAGACUAGAGGGAUGCAGGGGAGAACGGAAUUCCUGGUGGAGCGGUGGAAUGCGCAGAUAUCAGGAGGAACACCGGUGGCGAAGGCGGUUCUCUGGGCAUUACCUGACGCUGAGAAGCGAAAGCGUGGGGAGCAAACAGGCUU